UGAGAUGCCAUACACCUGGAAGAACAGGUUU
rnacentral:piRNA from 1 species